UACGUAGGGUGCAAGCGUUAAUCAGAAUUACUGGGCGUAAAGCGUGCGCAGGCGGUGAUGUAAGACAGAUGUGAAAUCCCCGGGCUCAACCUGGGAACUGCAUUUGUGACUGCAUCGCUGGAGUACGGCAGAGGGGGAUGGAAUUCCGCGUGUAGCAGUGAAAUGCGUAGAUAUGCGGAGGAACACCGAUGGCGAAGGCAAUCCCCUGGGCCUGUACUGACGCUCAUGCACGAAAGCGUGGGGAGCAAACAGG
rnacentral:rRNA from 1 species